rnacentral:tRNA from 1 species
CAGAAUAUAGCUUAGACUAGAAAAGCACCUCCCUUACACCGAGAAGACACUCGUGCAACCCGAGUUACUCUGA